GGGCGUGUGCGUAUGUGUAAUGUUUCAAUGUGAAAACGUACGCCGUGGCACUUGAGGCCUACCGUAGUGUGCCUGCUCCGCAGAGCUUUACUAGGACUUAGAACUUACGACGUGCAUCGAAGAUGAAGCCCUUCUCUUGAUCGAUGGCUACUCAAUUUCUGUCAAAAUACAUUUCGAGUUUUUCAAAAGCACUUGCUAAACGCGUUGCAACGCAAUGGAACAAGAUUUUGGCGCCAUCGAUUUUGUAUGGAGUAAAGAGAUUAUUAUGUAGCAAUUUACUAAGUAUGAGUUGAACUUAAAUAGGAAUGCUUGAGUGCUAUAUAGGUAUUGCGGUGCCUUUCGUAUUCGCAAACAAACUAGAUUCUCUUACAACUGGUGAUACAGAUACGACACUUAACGACAGUGACACGCCUAAGUGCGAUUACCACAGCGUGAAAAAAACCAAUAGGUUUCGUAUCAAAAUAGAAUAUCGUAAAAGGAAUGUCGUCGCACAUAUAGGAACGACUCGCUGACUUGUUACUGACGUUGCGCUUGUGCGUUGACUGACGCCAGGUGUCGAGGAACAGUUCGAUCCCCCGCCGCCAGCCACGUCCGAUCCUGCAGCCUCUCAGCAAAGGAGACCUGAACAACAACCGCGCUGGAAAAUCUCUAUCCAACACCAGCGCCAGUGAUCAAGAGGACGGGAGGCAGGACAUUAAAACGCUGGAGAGUCAGCACAUCAACCCGAUGGUCAUAUACCAGACGGCGAGCGAACGAGGCAAAGGCCUCACAAUACGUAGGCAACACAGAGUCGUUGCCAAUAUACCGUCGACGAGUGUCUCACCCUACCUGAACAAUAACAACGGUGGCGGCAGCAGGCGAACCGCUCUCAAGACGGACCCCGACACCACCAGCAUCCACAUCAUGGGCACGGCAGUGCGGCGGGAGGAGAAGACUGACAACCAUUACUAGCUGUCAAAUUGACGUGACAUUAUGCUGGGUCAUUGUCCAGCUCUACCCAAAAACAUCUUCCGAAAUCGGAGUGAUAUGGUCAGUCUGACUGGUGCCCACCCCCAGCCACAACGUUGUAUAAUGGCGGGAAUUAGGAAGUAGUAAGUUCGGCUUGUACGUAGCGACGUCUUGUUGGACCGAGGAUGCCGUUUAAACACGUGAACAUUAUGUAAGAAAGGAUAACAUUUUGGUGCCAAUACAUCGUCUUUACCAAUGUAGUAAGUAGAAAAUCGCGUGGACGAGGAUUCUAAUUUUAACGUAAUGAUUUUUAUGUUAUAUGAUAUUUAAUGAUGAAUUGGCCGAGGCCAUGGAUUAUCGUGAAUGGGUUACAACUGCACCACUCCAACAAAAUUGUUAUAACAACAUUAUCCGUAUAGCACUGGUGACUUAAACGUAUAUUACGUUCUUUUAAUGUGUUAUAAAACGGCUGCCACUGUCACAGUCAUAUAUGUGAUAGUGAAGGUAGGCUUAGGUGGGUUAUAGUCAACCUAAACUGUGCCUUUGUAUGUAUUCGAUUCAGAUGUAAUCUGAGAAUUAUAAAUGUUGGUAUGAAUGCCAAAAAGGCUUGACGACGCAAGCAAUCUAAUCAUGCCCCCUUUUACGAAAUUGCACUUUGAUUCGCCUAGUGUCAAAGGCAAGUCGUACACCAUAUGCAAUGUUUACAUACUAACCAACUUUAAAUAAAUAACUAUAUCUUUUCACUUUUUAA